AGUUCUGACCGUAAACGAUGCCAACUAGCGAUCCGCCGAUGGAGAUUAUAUUGCCUUGGUGGGGAGCUUCCCGGAAACGAAAGUCUUCCGGUUCCGGGGGAAGUAUGGUUGCAAAGCUGAAACUUAAAGGAAUUGACGGAAGGGCACCACCAGGAGUGGAGCCUGCGGCUUAAUUUGACUCAACACGGGGAAACUCACCCGGCCCGGACACUGUGAGGAUUGACAGAUUGAUAGCUUUUUCAUGAUUCAGUGGAUGGUGGUGCAUGGCCGUUCUUAGUUCGUGGAGUGAUUUGUCUGGUUUAUUCCGAUAACGAGCGAGACUCUAACCUACUAAAUAGCUGAUACAUAUUUUUGUGUAUUCGGCUUCUUAGAGGGAUUUGCGGUGUUCAGCCGAAAGAAAUUGAGCAAUAACAGGUCUGUGAUGCCCUUAGAUGUCCGGGGCUGCACGCGCGCUACACUGGCAAAAUCAACGUGCUUGUCCUGCCCCGAAAGGGGUGGGUAAACCAUUGAAAAUUUGCCGUGAUUGGGAUCGGAAAUUGCAAUUAUUUUCCGUGAACGAGGAAUUCCAAGUAAGUGCGAGUCAUCAGCUCGCGUUGAUUACG
rnacentral:rRNA from 1 species